rnacentral:rRNA from 1 species
GAUGAACGCUAGCGGCAGGCUUAAUACAUGCAAGUCGAGGGGCAUCAAGGUACACGAAAGUGUAUUGUUGGCGACCGGCGGACGGGUGAGUAAUAGGUAGGUAACCUACCUCAUACUGAGGCAUAGCUGGGAGAAAUUCCAGGUAAUUCCUCAUGAGGUUAUAUGACACAUGUGAUAUAAUCAAAGGUAUCGCAAGGUACUGGUAUGAGAUGGGCUUACUGACCAUUAGCUAGUUGGUGAGAUAAGAGCUCACCAAGGCGAAGAUGGUUAGGGGUUUUGAGAGAGAGAUCCCCCACAUUGGAACUGAGAUACGGUCCAGACUCCUACGGGAGGCAGCAGUAGGGAAUAUUGGGCAAUGGGCGGAAGCCUGACCCAGCCAUGCCGCGUGAAGGAAGACGGCCUUAGGGUUGUAAACUUCUUUACUAUGCGACUAACUAGAUUUACGAGAUAAUUCUAUAGAAUGUAGCAUAGCAAAAAGCACCGGA